GAUGAACGCUGGCGGCGUGCCUAAUACAUGCGAGUCGAGCGAACAGACGAGGAGCUUGCUCCUCUGACGUUAGCGGCGGACGGGUGAGUAACACGUGGAUAACCUACCUAUAAGACUGGGAUAACUUCGGGAAACCGGAGCUAAUACCGGAUAAUAUAUUGAACCGCAUGGUUCAAUAGUGAAAGACGGUUUUGCUGGCACUUAUAGAUGGGUCCGCGCCGCAUUAGCUAGUUGGUAAGGUAACGGCUUACCAAGGCAACGAUGCGUAGCCGACCUGAGAGGGUGAUCGGCCACACUGGAACUGAGACACGGUCCAGACUCCUACGGGAGGCAGCAGUAGGGAAUCUUCCGCAAUGGGCGAAAGCCUGACGGAGCCACGCCGCGUGAGUGAUGAAGGUCUUCGGAUCGUAAAACUCUGUUAUUAGGGAAGAACAAAUGUGUACGUAACUAUGCACGUCUUGACGGUACCUAAUGAGAAAGCCCCGGCUAACUACGUG
rnacentral:rRNA from 1 species